rnacentral:rRNA from 1 species
ACGUACACUCCUGCGGGAGGCAGCAGUGGGGAAUAUUGGACAAUGGGCGCAAGCCUGAUCCAGCCAUGCCGCGUGAGUGAUGAAGGCCCUAGGGUUGUAAAGCUCUUUCACCGGUGAAGAUAAUGACGGUAACCGGAGAAGAAGCCCCGACUAACUUCGUGCCAGCAGCCGCGGUAAUACGAAGGGGGCUAGCGUUGUUCGGAUUUACUGGGCGUAAAGCGCACGUAGGCGGACUAUUAAGUCAGGGGUGAAAUCCCGGGGCUCAACCCCGGAACUGCCUUUGAUACUGGUAGUCUUGAGUUGGAGAGAGGUGAGUGGAAUUCCGAGUGUAGAGGUGAAAUUCGUAGAUAUUCGGAGGAACACCAGUGGCGAAGGCGGCUCACUGGCUCGAUACUGACGCUGAGGUGCGAAAGCGUGGGGAGCAAACAGGAUUAGAAACCCCGGUAGUCCC